CCGGCCCGGAACUUCGCGAUCCCAUCUGACUUUCUUUCUGCUCCAUUCGUGUUCACCACCACCACCACACCCGUCUCCCCGGAAACCCCACAGAACCCUGCAACCACCUCCGCGCGCCGCCGCUCGCCAUGGCUGCCGCCGCCGCCGGGGCAGGCGGCCGCCCGUGGCGCGUGAUCCCGCGGCCGGUUAUGGAGACCGUCCUCCACAACCACGCCCUCCACCCGCGCGUGCCGCAACCGCUGCUCCUCCACGGCCCCCGCGGCGUCGGCAAGUCCACGCUCCUCCUCAACCGCCUCCUCCCUCAGUGGUCCGAGCCCCCGCACUACGCCGCCUUCGUAGACUUCCUCCACCCCUCUCCCAGUUCCCCUGCUCAUGCGCCCUGGUCUCUCCUCGCCGACACGCCUCCUUCCCUGCCCUCCCUCCGCCUCCGGCUCGAGUCUGCGCUGGAGGAACUCACCCGCGCCGCUGUACUCCGAGGUGCCGUCGGUUCCAAGGACGUGCUCGCCGCGCUCUCGCGGUCCCACGGCCUCCACACCGUGCUCUCUCGCCUGGCGGGUCCUGCCUCCCGCCGCGGCCAGGCAACUAACUCGGUUCCGGUGCUCUGGGCGAGGGCUGUCCUAGCUGCAACCUCCUCGGCCCGUGGUGACGACCCCACCUUCCGCAUUGGCGAGGGGGAGGUACCGAACUGCUCCAUGGAGGAGAGGGCGUACAUGCAGGAGGCCAUGGCGGCGCUGCGGGUGGCCAAGGAAGUUCUCGGGAUGCAGGAGGGGUGGAGGAAGGAGGCGGUGCGGGAGAUGAACAGGACAGGCCGGUUCUCCCGUCCACUGGCCAAUUCAGCCACAGACUGGCCAUGCCUCCUGCUGGAUGUGUUGUCAGGCGCAGCCGAGGAGGAUUUUUUCCAGCCAAAGCUGGUGCUGAACAACGUCGAUGCCCUGAGGAAGGCGAUAUGCGAGGACGAUACAAUGGUGCCUGCAGCUGUGUACCAUGACAGCUUCAUUUGGAGGGUGAUAGCACUCGGUGCUAAUGAACAGUGCUUACCGGUCAUUAUGUCCACGUCAGAUGGAUACUAUUCUUCCCAAGCAUUCGUCGAUUUUGGUUUUCCUAAUAUCUUCAUUUCUCGUGAGACGUUUGGUUGGACACCACAAGAAGCUAAGCUGCAUAUGGUUUCUGAGUUCUUCAGUGAACAGGAGUGGAAAGUCGUUGAUGAGCUUCUUGGACCAAACCCACGACAAUUAUGUGAGAUAUAUAUGCUGAAACAGAAGGCGAAUGGCCCAGAGGUUUUGCAUGACACAAACAUUGAGGAAAUUAUUGACACAUACCUGGCACACUUGCAAGUAUCUGUUGUGAAUCCCGCAAUGCAAACAGCAUUAAGCAUGGUGCAGAAGUUUGCUUCUGAUGUACGUGAGGGUAAAGUACCAGAGAACAGAUUGUCUUUUGGCGCGCCUUGGAGACAUCCACCUCGGGCUGACAAUCCUGACAUGUGCUAUAAGUGGGCAAAGAUUCAACUGAUGGAUUUUGUCCAGUCUUUUGUAAACACAGAAUUUGGGUUGAAUUACCUAGCAGAUGAUAGCCUGGAAAUAUUGGACGAUCCUGCAGCAGUCGCCAUGAUGGAGGUUGGCUUACUUUAUCAACAGAGAGAUCCAUCCUUUGUGCGACCAAUCACACGUGGGGUUCAGCGUUGUCUUGCUAGAUGGCUUGUUCAGCAGAGAUUAGAGUUGACCGUUCAAGAAUCAAUAUCAUUCUCAUGGCAACGUGUAGUUCGUGGGCGAAGCUAUCGACACUUGAUGAAAGAAGUCGGCUACAAGUAACAAGUUUAUGCCAAGAAAAAGCAGGUUAAUUUCAUAAUGUGGAACUGACAUGUGAUUUUGAUGGACUUAUAUAAUAUGCAUAAGAACGUUUGAAGCAUAUAUGAUUUUGCAAUCACUCACAUGCACAUGACGCUGAGGAAUUUUGCAGGUCGCCAGAGGUGGACAGUGUUUUUAACUAGGAGAUCAAUCAUAGUGGUACUGUGGUUCAUUUAGUUCAUAUUUAUACAUCGUUUUGGAUGAAGAUUGCCGGCUUUCCAUGUCACGAACUGGGAAUCUCGCCCAAGUAGAACCGGAAGUCAACACUAAACCCGCUUUGUCUUGGACAUAUGCUGGCAAUGCAAUUUUUUUGCAGCAUAUUUCUGUAAGUAUAAAUAUAUGAUCAAAUUCUGGACCAGUUCAUGGUCUGACGUGCGCAUAAUACUACUGUCACUCAAAUUUUGCGGCAUGUUUCUGUAAUGGAGCAGAAUGAGCAUGUGCGCUGUGUCGUGUCAUCUGUGACUAGUUAGUGCCUUGCUUGGCUCUCUGGAACUGUGGCUGGUCUGCUGAAUGUAUGUUUGUCAGUAAUUCUUUUGGAAUAAGAGGGCGGCCCUUGACUUGA